rnacentral:misc_RNA from 1 species
AACGCACAUUGCGCCCUUUGGUAUUCCGAAGGGCAUGCCUGUUCGAGCGUCAUUUCACCACUCAAGCCUGGCUUGGUAUUGGGCGUCGCGGCUUCGCGCGCCUUAAAGUCUCCGGCUGAGCUGUCUGUCUCUAAGCGUUGUGGAAUUUAACUAUUUUCGCUUCGGAGUGCAGGCGGCCGCGGCCGUUAAAUCUUUAUUCAAGGUUGACCUCGGAUCAGGUAGGGAUACCCGCUGAACUUAA